rnacentral:lncRNA from 1 species
UGUAACCCGGUGAAGUUGGGCUGUAGGCAGGUGAAGUUGGGCUGUAGGAUGGGGAUGUGGGGCUGUAGGAGGGGGAUGUGGGGCUGUAUGAAGGAGAUGUUGGGCUGUAGGAGGGGGAAGUGGGGCUGUAUGAAGGAGAUGUUGGGCUGUAUGAUGGUGAAGUUGGACUGUAUGCAGGGGAAGUGGGGCUGUACGCAGGGGAAGUGGGACUGUAAGCGGGGGAAGUCGGGCUGUAGCUUGGAGAGGUCGGGCUGUAGCUUGGAGAAGUCGGGCUGUAGCUUGGAGAGGUCGGACUGUAGCUUGGAGAGGUAGGUGAGUAAGAGGGGCUCGUAGGAGAAUAUGCUGGACUGGUUGGACUAUAACCUGGAGAGCUUGGACUAUAGGUUGGAGAAGUGGGACUAUAACCAGGGGAGGUGGGGCUGUAACCCGGCGAGGUGGGACUAUAACCAGGGGACGUGGGACUGUAUCCAGGGGAGGACGGACUGUAUCCAGGGGAGGAUGGGCUGUAACCCGGAGAUGAAGCAGGAGAGAAUGCCAUUCCACCGACAUAGGGAGAAAACUGAGCAUCUGAGAUGGGAGACAUUCGCAUAUUCGGGCUCAGCAAAUAAUUAGGUGACAUCAUUCCAUCACGGAAGGGAGUUCCCG